UACGGAGGGGGCUAGCGUUGUUCGGAAUUACUGGGCGUAAAGCGCACGUAGGCGGCUUUGCAAGUUAGAGGUGAAAGCCCGGGGCUCAACUCCGGAAUUGCCUUUAAAACUGCAUCGCUUGAACACGGGAGAGGUGAGUGGAAUUCCGAGUGUAGAGGUGAAAUUCGUAGAUAUUCGGAAGAACACCAGUGGCGAAGGCGGCUCACUGGACCGUUGUUGACGCUGAGGUGCGAAAGCGUGGGGAGCAAACAGG
rnacentral:rRNA from 1 species